UCGGAACGAGGUUAAUACCGGAUACUCCAUAUUUGUCGCAUGGCGAAUAUGGGAAAGCUCCGGCGGCAAAGGAUGGGCCCGCGGCCUGUUAGCUAGUUGGUGGGGGUAGUGGCCUACCAAGGCAAUGAUGGGUAGCCGGGUUGAGAGACCGACCGGCCAGAUUGGGACUGAGACACGGCCCAGACUCCUACGGGAGGCAGCAGCU
rnacentral:rRNA from 1 species